rnacentral:rRNA from 1 species
GGAGCGGCGAUGCCUGAUUAGCUAGUUGGUAAGGUAAUGGCUUACCAAGGCAACGAUCAGUAGCUGGUCUGAGAGGACGACCAGCCACACUGGGACUGAGACACGGCCCAGACUCCUACGGGAGGCAGCAGUGGGGAAUUUUGGACAAUGGGCGAAAGCCUGAUCCAGCCAUGCCGCGUGAGUGAAGAAGGCCUUCGGGUUGUAAAGCUCUUUCGGUCGGGAAGAAAUAGUUGUGGCUAAUAUCCACAAUGAAUGACGGUACCGACAUAAGAAGCACCGGCUAACUACGUGCCAGCAGCCGCGGUAAUACGUAGGGUGCAAGCGUUAAUCGGAAUUAUUGGGCGUAAAGGGUGCGCAGGCGGUUGUAUAAGUCAGAUGUGAAAUCCCUGGGCUUAACCUAGGAAUUGCGUUUGAAAC